GCGCCUGAGACAGCAGGCGUCGGGUUUGGCGACCCGUCUAAUCAAAGCGCACAAGACCGCGCCCGCGGUCUUUUU
rnacentral:sRNA from 1 species